GGUCAAGCUACAAAGGGCGCAUGGUGAAUGCCUUGGCAUCAGGAGCCGAUGAAGGACGUGAUAAGCUGCGAUAAGCUUCGGGUAGGCGCACAUAGCCUGAGAUCCGAAGAUCUCCGAAUGAGGAAACUCACAUGGGAAACCCCAUGUAUCAUUAAGUGAAUACAUAGCUUAAUGAAGGUAACCCAGGGAACUGAAACAUCUAAGUACCUGGAGGAAGAGAAAGAAAAAUCGAUUUUCUUAGUAGCGGCGAGCGAAAGGGAAAGAGCCCAAACCGGAAACUUGUUUCCGGGGUUGUGGACAUAGCAUGAAAGUGGAGGCUAUUGUAACUGAAGAGAACUGGAAAGUUCCACCGUAGAAGGUAAUAGUCCUGUAAGUGAAACGAGAAGACCACGAGUUAUGAUCCAGAGUACCACGAGACACGUGAAACCUUGUGGGAAGCAGGGAGGACCACCUCCCAAGGCUAAAUACUACCUGAUGACCGAUAGUGAAGCAGUACCGUGAGGGAAAGGUGAAAAGAACCCCGGGAGGGGAGUGAAAUAGAACCUGAAACCGUGUGCCUACAACCGCUCAGAGCCCCUUAUGAGGGUGAUGAGGUGCUUUUUGUAGAACGAGCCAACGAGUUACGGUAUGUAGCAAGGUUAAGUACUUAAGGUACGGAGCCGAAGGGAAACCGAGUCUGAAUAGGGCGACUAGUUGCAUGCCGUAGACCCGAAACCGGGUGACCUAUCCAUGGCCAGGUUGAAGCGAGGGUAAAACCUCGUGGAGGACCGAACCACGUUGCUGUUGAAAAAGCAUGGGAUGAGCUGUGGAUAGCGGAGAAAUUCCAAUCGAACCCGGAGAUAGCUGGUUCUCUCCGAAAUAGCUUUAGGGCUAGCGUCGAGUAUGAGUAGUGGAGGUAGAGCACUGAAUGGGCUAGGGGGCAUAGCGCUUACCGAACCUUAUCAAACUCCGAAUGCCACAUACUUUGAGCUCGGCAGUCAGACUACGAAUGAUAAGAUCCGUGGUCAAAAGGGAAACAGCCCAGAUCGUCAGCUAAGGUCCCAAAGUGUAAGUUAAGUGGGAAAGGAUGUGAGAUUUCUAAGACAACUAGGAUGUUGGCUUAGAAGCAGCCAUUCAUUAAAAGAGUGCGUAAUAGCUCACUAGUCGAGAGAUCUUGCGCCGAAAAUGUAACGGGGCUAAACUUACCACCGAAGCUACGGGCUUGAACUUAGUUCAAGCGGUAGGAGAGCGUCGUAACCGGGCUGAAGUCGUACCGUAAGGAGCGGUGGACUGGUUACGAGUGAGAAUGUUGGCAUCAGUAGCGAGAUGUGGGUGAGAAUCCCACAGGCCGAAAACCUAAGGUUUCCUCAGGAAGGUUCGUCCGCUGAGGGUUAGUCGGGACCUAAGCCGAGGCCGAAAGGCGUAGGUGAUGGACAACUGGUUGAUAUUCCAGUACCACUACCAUCGUUAUUAUCGAUGGCGUGACGCAGGAGGAUAGUGUGUGCUAGCUAUUGGAUGCUAGUCUAAGCGUUUAGGCAGUGAGAGUAGGCAAAUCCGCUCUCAUAAUGCUGAGGCGUGAUGGGGAAGGUUCUACGGAACCGAAGUACAUGAUUCCACGCUGCCAAGAAAAGCGUCUAGAGAGAGAAGUAGUGCCCGUACCGCAAACCGACACAGGUAGGUGAGGAGAGAAUCCUAAGGCCGGCGGAAGAAUUACAGUUAAGGAACUCGGCAAAUUGACCCCGUAAGUUCGCGAGAAGGGGUGCCUACGAGAGUAGGCCGCAGAGAAUAGGCCCAAGCAACUGUUUAGCAAAAACACAGGUCUCUGCUAAAGCGUAAGCUGAUGUAUAGGGGCUGACGCCUGCCCGGUGCUGGAAGGUUAAGGGGAACACUUAGCGCAAGCGAAGGUGUGAACUUAAGCCCCAGUAAACGGCGGCCGUAACUAUAACGGUCCUAAGGUAGCGAAAUUCCUUGUCAGGUAAGUUCUGACCCGCACGAAUGGCGUAAUGACUUGGGCACUGUCUCAACUGUAAAUCCGGCGAAGUUGUAGUGCGAGUGAAGAUGCUCGCUACCCGCGAUUGGACGGAAAGACCCCGUAGAGCUUUACUGUAGCUUAGCAUUGAGUUUUGGUAUUGUCUGUACAGGAUAGGUGGGAGACUAGGAAACCAGGGCGUCAGCCUUGGUGGAGUCAACCUUGGGAUACCACCCUGACAGUACUGAAAUUCUAACUGGCGGCCAUGAAUCUGGUCACAGGACAUUGUUAGGUGGGCAGUUUGACUGGGGCGGUCGCCUCCUAAAAAGUAACGGAGGCGCCCAAAGGUUCCCUCAGAACGGUCGGAAAUCGUUCGAAGAGUGCAAAGGCAGAAGGGAGCCUGACUGCGACACCCACAAGUGGAGCAGGGACGAAAGUCGGGCUUAGUGAUCCGGUGGUACCUCGUGGGAGGGCCAUCGCUCAACGGAUAAAAGCUACCUCGGGGAUAACAGGCUGAUCUCCCCCAAGAGUCCACAUCGACGGGGAGGUUUGGCACCUCGAUGUCGGCUCGUCGCAUCCUGGGGCUGAAGUAGGUCCCAAGGGUUGGGCUGUUCGCCCAUUAAAGCGGCACGCGAGCUGGGUUCAGAACGUCGUGAGACAGUUCGGUCCCUAUCCGUCGCGGGCGUAGGAAAUUUGAGAGGAGCUGUCCUUAGUACGAGAGGACCGGGAUGGACUGACCUCUGGUGUACCAGUUGUUCCGCCAGGAGCACAGCUGGGUAGCUAAGUCGGGAAUGGAUAAACGCUGAAAGCAUCUAAGCGUGAAGCCAACCUCAAGAUGAGAUUUCCCAUAGCGUAAGCUAGUAAGAUCCCUUGAAGAACACAAGGUUGAUAGGUCGGGGGUGUAAGCAUGGUAACAUGUUCAGCUGACCGAUACUAAUAGAUCGAGGGCUUGACCAA
rnacentral:rRNA from 1 species